GCCGGCGUAGCUCAGGUAGUUAGAGCGAGGGACUCAUAAGCCCUAGGUCGCAGGUGCAAGUCCUGCCGCCGGCA
rnacentral:tRNA from 1 species